rnacentral:rRNA from 1 species
AUAGCCGCCCGAAAGGACGGGUAAUACCGGAUACCCCGGGGUGCCGCAUGGCACCCCGGCUAAAGCCCCGACGGGAGGGGAUGGCUCCGCGGCCCAUCAGGUAGACGGCGGGGUGACGGCCCACCGUGCCGACAACGGGUAGCCGGGUUGAGAGACCGACCGGCCAGAUUGGGACUGAGACACGGCCCAGACUCCUACGGGAGGCAGCAGUGGGGAAUCUUGCGCAAUGGGGGGAACCCUGACGCAGCGACGCCGCGUGCGGGACGGAGGCCUUCGGGUCGUAAACCGCUUUCAGCAGGGAAGAGUCAAGACUGUACCUGCAGAAGAAGCCCCGGCUAACUACGUGCCAGCAGCCGCGGUAAUACGUAGGGGGCGAGCGUUAUCCGGAUUCAUUGGGCGUAAAGCGCGCGUAGGCGGCCCGGCAGGCCGGGGGUCGAAGCGGGGGGCUCAACCCCCCGAAGCCCCCGGAACCUCCGCGGCUUGGGUCCGGUAGGGGAGGGUGGAACACCCGGUGUAGCGGUGGAAUGCGCAGAUAUCGGGUGGAACACCGGUGGCGAAGGCGGCCCUCUGGGCCGAGACCGACGCUGAGGCGCGAAAGCUGGGGGAGCGAACAGGAUUAGAUACCCUGGUAGUCCCAGCCGUAAACGAUGGACACUAGGUGUGGGGGGACGAUCCCCCCGUGCCG